rnacentral:rRNA from 1 species
AUUGAACGCUGGCGGCAUGCCUUACACAUGCAAGUCGAACGGUAGAGGGGGGCAACCCCUUCGAGAGUGGCGAACGGGUGAGUAAUGCAUCGGAACGUGCCCAGUCGUGGGGGAUAGCCCGGGGAAACCCGGAUUAAUACCGCAUACGACCUGAGGGUGAAAGCGGGGGACUCGCAAGGGCCUCGCGCGAUUGGAGCGGCCGAUGUCGGAUUAGGUAGUUGGUGGGGUAAAGGCCUACCAAGCCUGCGAUCCGUAGCUGGUCUGAGAGGACGACCAGCCACACUGGGACUGAGACACGGCCCAGACUCCUACGGGAGGCAGCAGUGGGGAAUUUUGGACAAUGGGGGCAACCCUGAUCCAGCCAUGCCGCGUGCGGGAAGAAGGCCUUCGGGUUGUAAACCGCUUUUGUCAGGGAAGAAAUGUCCUGGGCUAAUACCCUGGGGGGAUGACGGUACCUGAAGAAUAAGCACCGGCUAACUACGUGCCAGCCGCCGCAGUAA